GUGAACGCUGGCGGCGUGCCUAAUACAUGCAAGUCGAGCGAACAGACGAGGAGCUUGCUCCUCUGACGUUAGCGGCGGACGGGUGAGUAACACGUGGAUAACCUACCUAUAAGACUGGGAUAACUUCGGGAAACCGGAGCUAAUACCGGAUAACAUGUUGAACCGCAUGGUUCAACAGUGAAAGACGGUUUUGCUGUCACUUAUAGAUGGAUCCGCGUCGCAUUAGCUAGUUGGUAAGGUAACGGCUUACCAAGGCAACGAUGCGUAGCCGACCUGAGAGGGUGAUCGGCCACACUGGAACUGAGACACGGUCCAGACUCCUACGGGAGGCAGCAGUAGGGAAUCUUCCGCAAUGGGCGAAAGCCUGACGGAGCAACGCCGCGUGAGUGAAGAAGGUCUUCGGAUCGUAAAACUCUGUUAUUAGGGAAGAACAAAUGUGUAAGUAACUAUGCACGUCUUGACGGUACCUAAUCAGAAAGCCACGGCUAACUACGUG
rnacentral:rRNA from 1 species